rnacentral:lncRNA from 1 species
AUGCUGUGCCCACCUCCAACUUUCCUGACGUCUCUUGUCAAUCCCAUGAGGAUCUGGGGGAACAGGUUUCUCUAUGGUCAUUAAACAAAAGGGAAUGACCAGCCGCAGGAACUUCACCAAGUACUGGAUACCACACCUGCUUUUCCAAGUCAGAUACAACCAUCUCCAUUCUAAACAGUCUACAUCUUUGAAGGACUGUGGCAGACCCAGGCUGGGGAUUAGUCACUGGGGUGACUCACAAACAGCAGCUUGCAGCGCCCAGAGGAGGCUCCCAUUUACAACUGAAGUCUGCCCUCUACUGGUCACAAGCAGCCCAAACCCACACCACAAAGCCACUGAAGAGUUUGCUUCUAAAAUCGUUUCUUCUCCAGGAACAUUUUGGAAAUUGCUACAAUUUAUUUAGCUAGAGAAAUACAAAGAAAUGACAUCUUCUGAAAAGUGUUCCUCUUUAAUUUUUUACUUUUUGAUGUUUUUAGGCUUUUUCCUUUUAUUUGACAAUAGCAGAAC